rnacentral:lncRNA from 1 species
UCUUAUUGAUUUAUGAAGGUUCCAGAUGAUGAAAAGUGUCAAAAGAAUGGAGCAUCUGCCAACCAGGAUGAAGGAGACAAGACACACACUAGGCAUUGGUCCCAAGACCUUUAGAGUUUUGCGUUUCAUCAUAUACAUUUCCCUACAGUUGUUCCUGAUGACUUUAUGCCUCAGUGGAAAUGCCAUUGUGGUGAGUUAGGAAAUGUGUUUCCUCAAAUGAAAGUACUCAGUCAUAGAAACAAAGCAGAAAAUUAUGAGAGA